rnacentral:lncRNA from 13 species
UUGCAAUUAAACAUAAUGCUAUGUGUUCAUUGUUAAUUGCAGAUGAAAUGCCAGUGUUGAUAGAAAAUACCUCUAAAGCCUUGAUUCUGGAAGAAGCUAGAGAAAUGGCUCUUGGGGUUCUAAUACUGACAUUUCUUUGGUGACUGUUUCCCAUGAAUGACCUCAACUUCCACUGAAAUCCACAAGAAAACCAAAAAAUGCAAACCGCAAGCCUGAAUAUUUCUGCAAAUUACCUGUGUCUUUAAUGUGUCUUGAACAGUUUGGAUACGUGCCUGAUCUUUUGUGGCAAUGUAAUACUAGUGCCAGGACUCCACUUGUGGUAUCACUUUUAGUAGCUUUGAUUGUUACCAAGUGGGGAUAUAAGGGAUGAGAUGUCUGGAGCUGCUGCAGCCACUUUGUGACUAUGAAGGAAGCUCCCACAUAAAGGAAGCUCCCACAUGGCAGAGUUGAAAGAUGGGAAGAAUUCCCAGUCUUUGAUGGUCUUGUUAAGCUACUGAGUUAAGUGAUCGUAUAGCCGUCCUACCUCGGGACUUAUUAUAAAAGAAUGUGAGGCCACAUGGUGCCAUUCAGAGAUUCAGCAAAUUCUCACAUGUUCCAUCUGCCGUGCAUUGUUACAGGUUUUGAGUCUAGAACCACGAAAACAAAAGACAAAAAUCUUGUGGACUUUGUAUUCUAGAGGAGAGAAAAUAAACAAGGUAAGUAAAAUAUAUAGUAUGGUAGAUAAUGAAUGGUAUGGGCUGAAGGAGAAACAUAAACAAAGAAAGAAGUUAGGUAGCACUGAGAGGAAGGGCGGUUUGCAAUUUAGGUAAGAACACCUCCAAGGAUACAGAGGCAUCUGCAUUACCAGAGAAAUAUUCCAGUCAGAGAAGCCAGUGAGUUCAAAGGCCCUGAGGCAGGAGCAUGGCUGGCUUGUGUAGUAGGCGUGAGUGAGCUAAGGAUGAAGGAGCAACAGAGGAGGCCAAAGAGAAAUCGAGAAGUGAAGGGAGUUGGGGGAUGGAGUUGUUGGCACUGAAUGAGACGUUCUAAAGACCUUAGCUUGGCCAGGUGUGGUGGCUCACUCCUGUAAUCCCAGCACUUUGGGAAGCCAAAGCAGGUAGAUCACCUGAGGUCAGGAGUUCGAGACCAGCCUGGCCAACAUGGAGAAACCCCCGUCUCUACUGAAAAUGCAAAAAUUAGCUGGGUGUGGUGGUGGGUGCCUGUAAUCCCACCUACUCUGGAGACCGAGGCAGGAGAAUUGCUUGAACCCAGGAGUUGGAGGUUGCAAUGAGCUGAGAUCACACCAUUGCACUCCAGCCUGGGCAACAAGAGUGAAACCCCAUCUCAAAAAAAAAAAAAAAUCUUUUUAAAAAGACCUUAGCUUUUCCUCUGAGUGAGAGCAGAGACUUUGGAGGGGCUUGAGCCAAGCAAUGGCAUGACCUGCUUCAUAUUUUAACAGUCACCUUGGCUGCUUGGUCAGGGCAGGGGGCAAGUGUGGAGGCAACAAAGCCAGUUUGGAGGCUGUGGCCAACAACCAUGAGUGCGGCUGAGGUCACCUAGGGAGUGCUUGUGAUGAACAGGAAAGAGGCCCGAGACUGGAUG